UAGGGAAUCUUCCGCGAUGGACGCAAGUCUGAUGGAGCAACGCCGCGUGAGUGAAGAAGGUCUUCGGAUCGUAAAACUCUGUUGUUAGAGAAGAACACGAGUGAGAGUAACUGUUCAUUCGAUGACGGUAUCUAACCAGCAAGUCACGGCUAACUACGUGCCAG
rnacentral:rRNA from 1 species